rnacentral:rRNA from 1 species
AAACGGAAAACUUAUUUCAGUAAGUUCCUAGUGGCGAACGGGUGAGUAACGCGUGGGCAACCUGCCCUCCAGUUGGGGACAACAUUCCGAAAGGGAUGCUAAUACCGAAUGUGCUCCCUCCUCCGCAUGGAGGAGGGAGGAAAGAUGGCCUCUGCUUGCAAGCUAUCGCUGGAAGAUGGGCCCGCGUCUGAUUAGCUAGUUGGUGGGGUAACGGCUCACCAAGGCGAUGAUCAGUAGCCGGUCUGAGAGGAUGAACGGCCACAUUGGGACUGAGACACGGCCCAAACUCCUACGGGAGGCAGCAGUGGGGAAUCUUCCGCAAUGGACGAAAGUCUGACGGAGCAACGCCGCGUGAGUGAUGGAGGUCUUCGGAUUGUAAAACUCUGUUGUUAGGGACGAAAGCACCGUGUUCGAACAGGUCAUGGUGUUGACGGUACCUAACGAGGAAGCCACGGCUAACUACGUGCCAGCAGCCGCGGUAAUACGUAGGUGGCAAGCGUUGUCCGGAAUUAUUGGGCGUAAAGAGCAUGUAGGCGGGCUUUUAAGUCUGACGUGAAAAUGCGGGGCUUAACCCCGUAUGGCGUUGGAUACUGGAAGUCUUGAGUGCAGGAGAGGAAAGGGGAAUUCCCAGUGUAGCGGUGAAAUGCGUAGAUAUUGGGAGGAACACCAGUGGCGAAGGCGCCUUUCUGGACUGUGUCUGACGCUGAGAUGCGAAAGCCAGGGUAGCAAACGGGAUUAGAUACCCCGGUAGUCCUGGCCGUAAGCGACGGAUAAUAGUCGGGAGA